rnacentral:rRNA from 1 species
AGAGUUUGAUCAUGGCUCAGGAUGAACGCUGGCGGCGUGCCUAACACGUGCAAGUCGAGCGAUUCUCUUCGGAGAAGAGCGGCGGACGGGUGAGUAACGCGUGGGUAACCUGCCCUGUGCACACGGAUAACAUACCGAAAGGUAUGCUAAUACGAGAUAAUAUGCUUUUAUCGCAUGGUAGAAGUAUCAAAGCUUUUGCGGUACAGGAUGGACCCGCGUCUGAUUGGCUAGUUGGUAAGGUAACGGCUUACCAAGGCGACGAUCAGUAGCCGACCUGAGAGGGUGAUCGGCCACAUUGGAACUGAGACACGGUCCAAACUCCUACGGGAGGCAGCAGUGGGGAAUAUUGCACAAUGGGCGAAAGCCUGAUGCAGCAACGCCGCGUGAGCGAUGAAGGCCUUCGGGUCGUAAAGCUCUGUCCUCAAGGAAGAUAAUGACGGUACUUGAGGAGGAAGCCCCGGCUAACUACGUGCCAGCAGCCGCGGUAAUACGUAGGGGGCUAGCGUUAUCCGGAAUUACUGGGCGUAAAGGGUGCGUAGGUGGUUUCUUAAGUCAGAGGUGAAAGGCUACGGCUCAACCGUAGUAAGCCUUUGAAACUGGGAAACUUGAGUGCAGGAGAGGAGAGUGGAAUUCCUAGUGUAGCGGUGAAAUGCGUAGAUAUUAGGAGGAAUACCAGUUGCGAAGGCGGCUCUCUGGACUGUAACUGACACUGAGGCACGAAAGCGUGGGGAGCAAACAGGAUUAGAUACCCUGGUAGUCCACGCCGUAAACGAUGAGUACUAGCUGUCGGAGGUUACCCCCUUCGGUGGCGCAGCUAACGCAUUAAGUACUCCGCCUGGGAAGUACGCUCGCAAGAGUGAAACUCAAAGGAAUUGACGG